rnacentral:rRNA from 1 species
UGGGAACGUGCCCAAAGGUAACGGAACAAACUACCGGGAAACUGGAGCUAAUACCGUAUGUGCCCGAAAGGGGAAAGAUUCAUCGCCUUUGGAUCGGCCCGCGUCUGAUUAGCUAGUUGGCGGGGUAAUGGCCCACCAAGGCGACGAUCAGUAGCUGGUCUGAGAGGAUGACCAGCCACACUGGGACUGAGACACGGCCCAGACUCCUACGGGAGGCAG